GAUAAAGAGAGAGGACAGCUGUCUAUUUCUGGUUUCAGUCUCUUUUUCGGUUCACAUUACAUAACUAUAUUCUUAUAAUAAAUUCUUCCUUUGGGUUUAGGUUAAGUCAGAGUGGUUUCUGUUACUUUAAAGAAUUUUAGCCAGGAAAGGUACUGUGAACAUUUAUAAUGACAUUAUUAUUACCAUUAUUAUCAUUAGAAAGUGUGGGUUGGAUAAUUAGCUACUUUGCUCUUGAUAUGGUUUCGCUGUGUUCCCAUCCAAAUCUCAUCUUGAAUUGUAGCUCCUGUAAUCCCCACGUGUCGUGGGAGGGACCCAGUGGGAGGUAAUUGAAUCAUGGGGGUGGGCUUUUCUCCUGAUAGUAAGUCUCAUGAGAUCUGAUGGUUUUAUAAAAGGGCAGUUCCCCUGUAUACACUCAUCUUGUCUGCUGCCAUGUAAGAUGUACCUUUGCUCCUCCUUCACCUUCCACCAUGAUUGUGAGGCCUCCCCAGCCAUGUGAAACUGAGGGAGGCAGAGUGAGAUGGCUGAGUAGAAGCCUCCACUGAUUGUCCCUGCAACAGGAACACCAAACUUAACAACUGUCCACACAAAAAAGCACCUUCAUAAGAACAAAAAAUCAGGAUGUGGCAUCUGAGAUGUUGAGAAGACACACAGCCAGCCGGUGGAAGGCCUUCUCAUCUCUAGAACCAUGUUGCUCAAUAUGUAGGCAUCAGCAAUAUGCAGCUAUUGAACAUUUGACAUGUGGCAAGUUUGAAUUGAGAUGUGCUGGUACAAAGUAAUAUAAUAUUGAAUGCCUACUAGAAGCCAGGAGAAUUCAAGCUCUCAGAAACUAAUACUUUAAGGUUGUCCUUCAUGUGACUUCCACCUUGAAUUCUCUCACCUUGGUGAUCUCCAAACUGGAACACUAACAG